rnacentral:rRNA from 1 species
UGAGGAAUAUUGCACAAUGGGCGAAAGCCUGAUGCAGCGACGCCGCGUGGGUGAAGAAGGUUUUCGGAUCGUAAAACCCUUUUCUGUGUGACGAGAACGGACGGUAGCACAGGAAUAAGUCUCGGCUAACUACGUGCCAGCAGCCGCGGUAAAACGUAGGAGACAAACGUUAUCCGGAGUUACUGGGCGUAAAGGGCGUGUAGGUGGUUGUGUAAGUUCGGCGUGAAAUUUCUCGGCUUAACCGGGAGAGGUCGUCGGAUACUGCACGACUAGAGGACGGUAGAGGCGUGUGGAAUUCCGGGUGUAGUGGUGAAAUGCGUAGAGAUCCGGAGGAACACCAGUGGCGAAGGCGACACGCUGGGCCGUACCUGACACUGAGGCGCGAUAGCAUGGGGAGCAAA